rnacentral:rRNA from 1 species
UGCGCAGGCGGUUUUGUAAGACAGACGUGAAAUCCCCGGGCUUAACCUGGGAACUGCGUUUGUGACUGCAAGGCUAGAGUAUGGCAGAGGGGGGUAGGAUUCCACGUGUAGCAGUGAAAUGCGUAGAGAUGUGGAGGAAUACCGAUGGCGAAGGCAGCCCCCUGGGUCAAUACUGACGCUCAUGCACGAAAGCGUGGGGAGCAAACAGGAUUAGAUACCCUGGUAGUCCACGCCCUAAACGAUGUCAACUAGGUGUUGGGGGAGGAGACUUCCUUAGUACCGCAGCUAACGCGUGAAGUUGACCGCCUGGGGAGUACGGCCGCAAGGUUGAA